UGGCUCUCGCAUCGAUGAAGAACGCAGCGAAAUGCGAUAAGUAAUGUGAAUUGCAGAAUUCAGUGAAUCAUCGAAUCUUUGAACGCAAAUUGCGCUCUUUGGUAUUCCGAAGAGCAUGCCUGUUUGAGUGUCAUAAAGUCUCCCUUAACCGAUUUUUCGAUUAAGGUGUUUGGGCGCUGCCAGUGGCUCGCCUUAAAUGCAUCAGUGGAACGCGUGAUAAGUCUUCGCAACCCCCACUUUAAAUCUUCUUUAGCUUUGACCUCAAAUCAGGUAGGACUACCCGCUGA
rnacentral:misc_RNA from 1 species